rnacentral:sRNA from 1 species
CACUGGUCUGACAGUAGUGGGUCAUCAGAAUUUAUUAACAUUAGUGUUGCUAAAGUUAGUAUACAACCCCCCACUGCUAAAUGACUAUCUU